rnacentral:rRNA from 1 species
UACAGAGGGUGCGAGCGUUAAUCGGAAUUACUGGGCGUAAAGCGUGCGUAGACGGCUAUCUAAGUCGGGUGUGAAAGCCCCGGGCUCAACCUGGGAAUUGCAUUCGAGACUGAAUAGCUAGGGUACGGUAGAGGGAAGUGGAAUUUCCGGUGUAGCGGUGAAAUGCGUAGAUAUCAGGAGGAACACCGGUGGCGAAGGCGGGUCUCUGGGCAAUAACUGACGCUGAGGAGCGAAAGCGUGGGGAGCGAACAGG